rnacentral:rRNA from 1 species
CUUAAAGGAAUUGACGGGGAGCACCACAACAGGUGGAGCCUGCGGUUUAAUCGGACUCAACGCCGGGAAACUCACCAGAUAAGACAGCUGAAUGAUAGUCGGGCUGAAGACUCUACUUGACUAGCUGAGAGGAGGUGCAUGGCCGUCGUCAGUUCGUACUGUGAAGCAUCCUGUUAAGUCAGGCAACGAGCGAGACCCACGCCCACAGUUGCCAGCGUACUCUCUGGAGUGACGGGUACACUGUGGGGACCGCCGCUGCUAAAGCGGAGGAAGGAAUGGGCAACGGUAGGUCAGUAUGCCCCGAAUAUCCCGGGCUACACGCGAGCUACAAUGGUUGGUACAAUGGGUAUCUACCCCGAAAGGGGACGGGAAUCUCCUAAAACCAAUCUUAGUUCGGAUUGAGGGCUGCAACUCGCCCUCAUGAAGCUGGAAUCCGUAGUAAUCGCGUUUCAACAGAACGCGGUGAAUACGUCCCUGCUCCUU